UGCCUAGCAACUCCUAUCGCUAACUCCGCGUGGUACCGGCCGGAAACUACGAGCAAUUUUAAGGAAGAUCGGGUAACCAACCUCGGAGGAAACUUUGGUCAUUGGCUGACAGGGAAGG
rnacentral:ribozyme from 1 species